UUAAGAUAAAAAUUAAUUAAUGAAUUUAAUAAUAAAAGAAUUUUUAAUUUAAGUUUAUAAUUAGAUUAGUUUUAGUAUAUUUUAUAGAAAAAAUUUUAAAAUUUAUAGUUAAUAAGUACUGUAAAAGAAAUUUGAAAUAAUUGAAAAUUUAUUUUUAUAAAAGUAAAUUUAAUUUAUUGUAUCUUG
rnacentral:rRNA from 1 species